rnacentral:rRNA from 1 species
ACUCCUGCGGGAGGCAGCAGUGGGGAAUUUUGGACAAUGGGCGAAAGCCUGAUCCAGCCAUGCCGCGUGCAGGAUGAAGGCCUUCGGGUUGUAAACUGCUUUUGUACGGAACGAAACGGCCUUUUCUAAUAAAGAGGGCUAAUGACGGUACCGUAAGAAUAAGCACCGGCUAACUACGUGCCAGCAGCCGCGGUAAUACGUAGGGUGCAAGCGUUAAUCGGAAUUACUGGGCGUAAAGCGUGCGCAGGCGGUUAUGUAAGACAGUUGUGAAAUCCCCGGGCUCAACCUGGGAACUGCAUCUGUGACUGCAUAGCUAGAGUACGUGAGAGGGGGAUGGAAUUCCGCGUGUAGCAGUGAAAUGCGUAGAUAUGCGGAGGAACACCGAUGGCGAAGGCAAUCCCCUGGACCUGUACUGACGCUCAUGCACGAAAGCGUGGGGAGCAAACAGGAUUAGAAACCCGAGUAGUCCCAUGA